UCAUAGAUAGCUUAGUGGUGAGAGCUCUGGAUUCCAAAGGGAAAGGUCGUGAGUUCGAAACUCGCUCGCUGUA
rnacentral:tRNA from 1 species